rnacentral:lncRNA from 1 species
CAUCUUAAAUUUUUUUGUUUUUGCAUAAAAUCCAGCUCCUGCAGGAUAUUUAUCAGCAUCUUUGCAAGAGAGGAUGAAUUCAAAAUAAAGUACAAGAGAAGAAACAUUCAGUGAUCCUCAUGGAACACCUUUCCUGAAGAGAUGAUGAUGGGGCCAUUUGACAUGGGACACAGCAGGUGCUGGAAGAAGCACAUAUUUUUAGUGACAAAGACUGUGACUAUGUUGCCUCCUGGUUAUAAAGCAAAGCCAAACUGGAGAGACCAGUGCCAGAGCCUUUAUUACUAAAAGUAGAAGUUGAUACACAUUUGAAGUUGCCCAUCCCACUACCACCAAAUGAUGUGGAAGAGAAUGAGUCCCCUGUGACCUAGUGACGAGAAUGAAGUAAAUCCUGUCUCAAAAGAAGAAAAUCCACUUCCAAGGGACAAGGUCUCACUCUGUCGCCCAAGCUGGAGCACAGUGGCACAAUAAUAGUUCACUGCAGCCUUGAAGUCCUGGGCUCAAGUGAUUCUCCUGCCUCAGCCUCUUGAGUAGCUAGGACUACAGAUAAUUGCCUUUGAUGAGUUAAGGACAGAUUUUAAGAGCCCCAUAGACCAGUGCAAUCCUGUUCAUGCGAGGGAACGGUUGAGGAACAUCGAGCGCAUCUGCUUCCUUCUGCGAAAGCUGGUGCUGCCAGAAUACUCCAUCCAUAGCCUCUUCUGCAUUAUGUUCCUGUGUGCGCAAGAGUGGCUCACGCUGGGGCUGAAUGUCCCUCUACUUUUCUAUCACUUCUGGAG